ACGAGAAUACUAUAUAUGUAAAAAACUAAUGAAAAUCCUUGUUUGAUGUAGAUAGAAAAUCAUAAUAGUAAUUGACUUCUAAAUCAAUUAAAACUUUACCUCAUAUAAAAUAAUUUUUAAAAAAUACAAUUCUAUUUAAGUAAUAUUGUGAUCAAAUUUUGAAAUAACAUACUUGACACGACCGCUUCUUGGUCUCUCUACAAACUUUGAUAGAUGGAGAUCGAAUGCCACCACGAAUAGGUGAUAACAUUGCUCACGGGGACAAUAUUGUUGCAUCACUAUGUGUACUCAAUGAGUUCUCCAACCAGGUUAAAGGCCAAGUCCACAGUGUAUAUUAAUAGAUGAAUGUUCGAUCGAAGGUGAAAGCUCCUAGAAAAGAUAUAUGGUUGCAAUGAGUUAAUAGCAAAAGGUAAGAUCCUUAGAAAGGUAUUUCAAACUCUUUGACAAUUUGUCUUUUCACCUUUUUCCUCCAACUAAAUUUCUUAAAAAUAAAUUACGACUUAACAUUAAGAGAUGGUGAUUAUGAUCAACC